GAUUCAAACUGGACUGGUUAAACUAGUAUACUUUUAUUAUGUACUCUUUGCAAACCAAAGCAACUUUAAUCUCUUUAUGCUUUCCACUCCUUUCUUUUUGAUAUAUAGUUUGCGUUUCAUGAUAAGGCCAAGAAAAAGAGAGAAGAGAGUAUGUGAGAGUGAUAACGAGGCUCAGCUAGCCUUGUGACUUUUUUUUUCUAAAUUCAACGUGCCGCUGACUUUGCAGUCCUGGAGGUGUUGGUGUGAACGUGUGUUUGGUUGAGGCACAGGACAUCUAUGUUGGGUUGACAUCGGACAGACGGUUCAUUUUGAUUGAGAAUGAAUUUCGGGCUGACGUCAGUAUUUGACACCAAUUUGAUGUAGACUUAAUGUUGGAUUUAGGGUACACAACCUAAAAACAACAAAUAUCAACAUCAUCUGACAUCGCUAUUAUUAUCAAAUUAACAUUUACAUUAAAGGUCACCCGAUGUUUAACAAAA